rnacentral:rRNA from 1 species
CCUACGGGAGGCAGCAGUGGGGAAUAUUGGGCAAUGGAGGAAACUCUGACCCAGCGACGCCGCGUGCGGGAUGAGGGCCUUCGGGUUGUAAACCGCUUUCAGUAGGGAAGAAGCGAAAGUGACGGUACCUACAGAAGAAGCACCGGCUAACUAUGUGCCAGCAGCCGCGGUAAUACAUAGGGUGCAAGCGUUGUCCGGAAUUAUUGGGCGUAAAGAGCUCGUAGGUGGUUCGUCACGUCGGAUGUGAAAAUCUGGGGCUCAACCCCAGACCUGCAUUCGAUACGGGCGAUCUAGAGUGUGGUAGGGGAGACUGGAAUUCCUGGUGUAGCGGUGGAAUGCGCAGAUAUCAGGAGGAACACCAAUGGCGAAGGCAGGUCUCUGGGCCAUUACUGACACUGAGGAGCGAAAGCGUGGGGAGCGAACAGGAUUAGAUACCCUGGUAGUCCACGCCGUAAACGGUGGGCACUAGUUGUGGGAACCUUCCACGGUUUCUGCGACGCAGCUACGCAUAGUAGCCCGCCGUCGGGAGGUACGAGUCGCGAGAAGUUAAACGUACGUAAGGUAAGUUAGUUACGGCGUGAGACGUGCGACGGCGACGACGAGGGAGGAGG